UGGCGGACGGGUGAGUAAUGUCUGGGAAACUGCCUGAUGGAGGGGGAUAACUACUGGAAACGGUAGCUAAUACCGCAUAAUGUCGCAAGACCAAAGAGGGGGACCUUCGGGGCCUCUUGCCAUCGGAUGUGCCCAGAUGGGAUUAGCUUGUUGGUGGGGUAACGGCUCACCUAGGCGACGAUCCCUAGCUGGUCUGAGAGGAUAACCAGCCACACUGGAACUGAGACACGGUCCAGACUCCUACGGGAGGCAGCAUG
rnacentral:rRNA from 1 species